AUCAACUUUCGAUGGUAGGAUAGAGGCCUACCAUGGUGGUAACGGGUAACGGGGUGUUAGGGCACGACACCGGAGAGGGAGCCUGAGAAACGGCUACCACAUCCAAGGAUGGCAGCAGGCGCGCAAAUUACCCAAUCCCGACACGGGGAGGUAGUGACAAUAAAUAACAAUACGGGGUUCUUUCGGAUCUCGUAAUUGGAAUGAGUACAAUUUAAAUCUCUUAACGAGGAACAAUUGGAGGGCAAGUCUGGUGCCAGCAGCCGCGGUAAUUCCAGCUCCAAUAGCGUAUAUUAAAGUUGUUGCAGUUAAAAAGCUCGUAGUUGAAUUUCGGGAUCAGAUUGUCGGUCGUGCCUCGGUACGCACUGGCAUUAUUGGUUCCUACCUUCUGAAGAACCGCGAUGUCAUUAAUUUGGUGUCGUGGGGAAUCAGGACUGUUACUUUGAAAAAAUUAGAGUGUUUAAAGCAGGCUAACGCUUGAAUACAUUAGCAUGGAAUAAUGAAAUAGGACGUUCGAUCCUAUUUUGUUGGUUUCUAGGAUUGACGUAAUGAUUAAUAGGGAUAGUUGGGGGCAUUAGUAUUCAAUUGUCAGAGGUGAAAUUCUUGGAUUUAUUGAAGACUAACUACUGCGAAAGCAUUUGCCAAGGAUGUUUUCAUUAAUCAAGAACGAAAGUUAGGGGAUCGAAGACGAUCAGAUACCGUCGUAGUCUUAACCAUAAACUAUGCCGACUAGGGAUCGGAUGAUGUUAAUUUUUUAAUGACUCAUUCGGCGCCUUACGGGAAACCAAAGUGUUUGGGUUC
rnacentral:rRNA from 1 species